rnacentral:rRNA from 1 species
UCUUGGUCCAUUAGAGGAAGUAAAAGUCGUAACAAGGUUUCCGUAGGUGAACCUGCGGAAGGAUCAUUACCUAGAGUUGUAGGCUUUGCCUGCUAUCUCUUACCCAUGUCUUUUGAGUACCUUACGUUUCCUCGGUGGGUUCGCCCACCGAUUGGACAAAUUUAAACCCUUUGCAGUUGAAAUCAGCGUCUGAAAAAACUUAAUAGUUACAACUUUCAACAACGGAUCUCUUGGUUCUGGCAUCGAUGAAGAACGCAGCGAAAUGCGAUAAGUAGUGUGAAUUGCAGAAUUCAGUGAAUCAUCGAAUCUUUGAACGCACAUUGCGCCCCUUGGUAUUCCAUGGGGCAUGCCUGUUCGAGCGUCAUUUGUACCUUCAAGCUCUGCUUGGUGUUGGGUGUUUGUCUCCUGUAGACUCGCCUCAAAACAAUUGGCAGCCGGCGUAUUGAUUUCGGAGCGCAGUACAUCUCGCGCUUUGCACUCAUAACGACGACAUCCAAAAGUACAUUUUUACACUC